AAGUUUAGGGUAGUAACCCUACGCCAACGACGGGGCGUAAUACCGGACGUGUGGUCCGUGCAGACCCAUGUUUGCGGGAUUAAAGGUCGCGAGACCGCUUGGAGAUGAGCUUGCGGCCCAUUAGCUAGUUGGUGAGGUAACGGCCCACCAAGGCAGGGAUGGGUAGCCGGCCUGAGAGGGUGUACGGCCACAUUGGGACUGAGAUACGGCCCAGACUCCUACGGGAGGCAGCAGUAGGGAAUUUUGCGCAAUGGACGGAAGUCUGACGCCAGCAACGCCGCGUGAAGGAUGAAGGCCUUCGGGUUGUAAACUUCUGUUGGAUGGGAAAAAAGCCUUUUAAGAGGAAUUGAUGGUACCAUUCGAGUAAGCACCGGCUAACUACGUGCCAGCCGCCGC
rnacentral:rRNA from 1 species